CUGCGUCGGGGGCCAAAUGCUAAAUGAGAUGUUCGUCUUCUCCAGCUUCAGACGCGUAUUCUGUAGUUGUUGGUGUUGGGUCUCUUCGGCUUCGGCCAUUGGAGUGGUGGGCUUAGUUUCUUCAACUUCGACCUCUUGGCUUCCCUCCUCUCUU